rnacentral:rRNA from 1 species
UACGUAGGGUGCGAGCGUUAAUCGGAAUACUGGGCGUAAAGCGUGCGCAGGCGGUUUUGUAAGCCAGAUGUGAAAUCCCCGGGCUCAACCUGGGAAUGGCAUUUGGGACUGCAAGGCUGGAGUGCGGCAGAGGAGACUGGAAUUCCUGGUGUAGCAGUGAAAUGCGUAGAUAUCAGGAGGAAUACCGAUGGCGAAGGCAGGUCUCUGGGCUGACACUGACGCUCAUGCACGAAAGCAUGGGGAGCAAACAGG